rnacentral:rRNA from 1 species
GUCCUUUUGAAUUUAAUUUAAGGUCUGACCUGCCCAGUGAUGAAUUUAACGGCCGCGGUAUAUUGACCGUGCAAAGGUAGCAUAAUCAUUAGUCUUUUAAUAGAGGGCUGGAAUGAACGGUUUAACGAGGAACUGACUGUCUCAUUUUAUUUGUUUUAAAAUUUAAUUUUUUAGUUAAAAAGCUAAAAUUUUAUUGGAAGACGAGAAGACCCUAUAGAUCUUUAUAUAAUUUUUUGUAUUUAUUUAUAAACAUAGGUAUAUUAAAUUUGUAUUUUGUUGGGGUGACAGGAAUAUAAAAUUAACUUUUUCAUUUAUUUACCAUUGAUUUAUGAUUAUUAGAUCCAUUAUUAGUGAUUGUUAGAAUAAGUUACCUUAGGGAUAACAGCGUAAUCCUCUUCCAGAGUUCAUAUUUACAGGAGGGCUUGCGACCUCGAUGUUGGAUUAAGAUAAUAAUUAGGUGUAGCCGCUUAAUUUAUAGGUCUGUUCGACCUUUAAAUUCUU